UUUCAUAGCAGCAGACCUGCACUGGGCUUUCACUGAUCUUGUCAGAGGGAAUCUCAGAAGCUAAGCAGAUGUGGGCCUGGUUAGUACUUGCAUGGGAGACCACUGGAGUACCACAUGCCACUGUGGGGU
rnacentral:rRNA from 1 species